GACCUCAAAUCAGGUAGGGCUACCCGCUGAACUUAAGCAUAUCAAUAAGCGGAGGAAAAGAAACUAACAAGGAUUCCCCUAGUAACGGCGAGUGAACCGGGAAGAGCUCAAAUUUGUAAUCUGGCGUGCUCUGUGCGUCCGAGUUGUAAUCUAUAGAAGCGUUUUCUGUGCCGGACCGUGUCCAAGUUCCUUGGAAUAGGAUAUCAUAGAGGGUGACAAUCCCGUCCUUGACACGAUUACCGGUGCUAUGUGAUACACUUUCUACGAGUCGAGUUGUUUGGGAAUGCAGCUCAAAAUGGGUGGUGAGUUCCAUCUAAAGCUAAAUAUUGGUGAGAGACCGAUAGCGAACAAGUACCGUGAGGGAAAGAUGAAAAGCACUUUGGAAA
rnacentral:rRNA from 1 species